rnacentral:hammerhead_ribozyme from 1 species
AUUCGUCUGAUGAGUCCCAAAUAGAACGAAACGCUCGUCUUGAAU